AUGAGUUCCACCGGAGCGGGCGUCGCCGGCCGCGGCAAGGCGAAGGCGACCAAGUCGGUGUCGCGGUCGUCCAAGGCCGGCCUCCAGUUCCCCGUCGGCCGCAUCGCCCGCUACCUCAAGGCCGGCAAGUACGCCGAGCGCGUCGGCGCCGGCGCCCCCGUCUACCUCUCCGCCGUCCUCUAGUACCUCGCCGCCGAGGUAAACCAUCUUCGUCGAUUCCCCUUCCCCUUUUCUCUCCGUCAAUCGGCGCCCGUCCGAUCUCGUGCGCCCGAUCGUUCGUCGUCCAUACGUACGCAGGUGCUGGAGCUGGCCGGGAACGCGGCGCGGGACAACAAGAAGACCAGGAUCGUGCCACGGCACAUCCAGCUGGCGGUGCGCAACGACGAGGAGCUGAGCAAGCUGCUGGGCUCGGUGACGAUCGCCAACGGCGGCGUCGUGCCCAACAUCAACCAGGUGCUGCUGCCCAAGAAGGCCGGGCCCAAGGGGGAUCUGGGCUCGGCCUCCCAGGAGUUCUGA
rnacentral:rRNA from 1 species